ensembl:lncRNA
UUAUGGAAUUCUGUAGUUCUGUAGUUAUAUAUUAUGGAAUUCUGUAGGUCUGUAGUUAUAUAUUAUGGAAUUCUGUAGGUCUGUAGUUAUAUAUUAUGGAAUUCUAUAGUUCUGUAGUUAUAUAUUAUGGAAUUCUAUAGUUCUGUAGUUAUAUAUUAUGGAAUUCUGUAGUUCUGUAGUUAUAUAUUAUGGAAUUCUGUAGGUCUGUAGUUAUAUAUUAUGGAAUUCUGUAGGUCUGUAGUUAUAUAUUAUGGAAUUCCUUAGGUCUGUAGUUAUAUAUUAUGGAAUUCUAUAGUUCUGUAGUUAUAUAUUAUGGAAUUCUAUAGUUCUGUAGUUAUAUAUUAUGGAAUUCUGUAGUUCUGUAGUUAUAUAUUAUGGAAUUCUGUAGUUCUGUAGUUAUAUAUUAUGGAAUUCUGUAGUUCUGUAGUUAUAUAUUAUGGAAUUCUAUACUUCUGUAGUUAUAUAUUAUGGAAUUCCUUAGGUCUAUAGUUAUAUAUUAUGGAAUUCCUUAGGUCUAUAGUUAUAUUAUUAUGGAAUUCUAUAGAUCUGUAGUUAUAUAUUAUGGAAUUCUGUAGGUCUGUAGUUAUAUAUUAUGGAAUUCUGUCGGUCUGUAGUCCUGCAGUUCUUGUAUUUCUUAUUUCUGCAUUCAAAUAAUUACAUAUUUUUGCAUUUCAUAGUUUCAUAUUUCCGUAGUUCUUAAUUUCUAUAUUAUAUUUAUUACUAUAUUUUAUAGGUCCACAGUUCUGUAUUUCUUAGUUACACAUGGUUGGAGUUUGUAUUUUUGUAUUUUGUAGUGCCUUAUUUCCACAACUGUUUAAUUUCUGUAUUUUGUAGUUAGUUGCAUAUUAUUUAGUUCCACAUUCAUGUAGUUACAUAUUUUUAUAUUUCAUAUAUCCAUAGCUACAUGCUUUAUAGUUACAUAAUUGUGCAUUUGUAGUAGUUAAUUAAUCUCACUUGUUGCUUCUUACCCCAACUAUUUUAUCUUUCCAAAGUUUCCAAAGUAAUGCAUACUGUAAUUCUGAGUCAUAGCUCUGUAUUUUUGUAAUUCAUAGUUUGCUGUAGUUUACUGUACUCUAGACUUGUACAUUAUACUUAAUAUGAAUAAGAUUGAAAGUAAGGCUACAAACACUAACCUGCUCUUCACCUGAAGCUUGUACACUCGGUUAUAAAUUUCAUCUAUAUUUUUAAAUCCAAGUAAAAACGCUGUAUGGCUGAGAUUCUUCUGAAUAUUUCAGUUCUACUGUGUGAGUUGUAGUGUCACCUCUGGGUCUCAGUAAUGAUUAUCCUCACUGCUGGGUGUUUUCCCCUGAUUCUACACUAAUGUGGAACAAAUGGCAUGUUUUCAUCUCAGGCUUCUUACUGUGUCUGAUCUGCUCCGCUCUGGUGCUGGGGCUGCUUUCAUUUUCCAUCUGUUUUAUGGUGUGAGACAGAUUAAAUGGUCGCCUCCUGUUAUACUCAUGAGAGUUCAUUAUGAUUUUAACCCAGACAGUUUUAAAAGACUUAAAAUAGAUAUCUUGUCGUAAUUCCUCCCUUUUCUUGUGAGGUACUAAAGAGGAAAAGUGUUCAAAUGAACGCUGUUUAAUGACGGUGUUUCCACUGAAUAAUGAAAAUUCGCUGUUAAAUGGUAACUAAUAGGGAAUUUUCCAGUUAAACUGAACACUGGUUGAACUGGAAGUGAUGCACAGUAUAAUUUAUCAUUCCUUCCUCUCACAGGAUUCCCGAGACACGGAAUUAGUUCAUAAGCCAAGUAAAGUUUUCACUCUGGAGGAAUUUGAACCUGGCAGACACAGAGUAUAAAAUAAUAUCAUGACUACAAAAAACAACAUUUUGGCUAUAAAUUGUGCAGGGCUUUACUUUAUUUGGACGUUUCCCUGACUUUGGUAAUGUGAUCACAGUUACUGCAUUUCUUUCUAAUACAUGAUGUAUACACCUGUACAAACGCUGUGAAACAUGCAAGAAGUGACGCAUACUGAUUAAUUAUCGUGCAUGUAAUCGUACGGUCAGGAAUUCUCCUUCUCAGUGCACGGCGUGUGCUGCGCUCAUGUUUUUGUUUGAGUUGAUUCUGUGAGAUUUAUUUUCCAGCGCUAUGUGACCGUGUUCUGGUCCUGUCUCCUCCCUGCCCUGUGAUUGGUCUGUAUUCUGAGUUCAUCUGUUGAUUUAGUUCGUCUUUAUACUCCUUUAUAGUGUCGCAUAGUGAAGUGUUAAUUGUAUUGGUUUUGGGGGCACGGUGGUUCAGUGGGGGACUUACUGGUUCAAGUCCUGCCUCUACCCUGUGUGCAUGGAGCUUACAUGUUGUCCCUGUGCUUCUGGGGUUUCCUUCGGUUAUUCCAGUUUCCUCCCCAGUCCCUAUGCUGAUUGGCAUUCCCAAAUUGUCUGUAGUGAUGUGUGUAGGAUUGUUCCCUGAAAUGUAUUGGCCCAGGGUGUCUUCACUUAUGGUCUGCACUUAUAUAGCACUUUUUUAACCUUAGUGGUUCUACAAAGCGCUUUAGACUGGUUCUCAUUCACUGGUUCUCAUUCACCCAUUCACUGGCGCUAGCUUGCCAUCGGGAGCAACUUGGGGUUCAGUGUCUUGCCCAAGGACACUUUGGUAUGUUGAGUCACAUGGGCCAGGAAUCGAACCUCCAACCCUACGAUUAGUGGACAACCCGCUCUACCACCUGGGCCACAGCUGCCCGGAGUUCCCUGUGACCCUGUGUAGGAUAAGUGGUACAGAAAAUGGAUGAAAUGGAUGGAUGGAAGGAUUGGUUUUGACCUUGCUCAAGUUUUCAAUUUUGAAAUGAUGAAUUACGAUGAUGAUUUUUGGAUUAGCUCAAAUAAAUUACACGAAGGGUUUAUGGACUUGUGUCCUGCCUUUAUUCACCGCACGUUAGCCAAACUGACGGUGAUAAUCCAAAGAGUACACUUUAUGUAUCGUACAGUAUGUACUGUAAUGAACACAUACAUACAUACAUACGUAUAUAGCUUGCAAAAUAACUUGCAGGACAAGAAGAUAAAAAGUGGAAAAAUUAGCCAGCGAAUAGAUGUGCAAAAAGCUGCAGUAGUAUUUAUGGAACCAGUAGCAGCGGUAGUGGUUGGAGUUGAAGUGUAGCAGUGAUGACUGGCACGGUAAUACGGUACAGGUCAUGGGGGGAAGCAGAGACAUUUCAGCAGUGUCUGAGGAGAGAAGAGCUGUGUUCUCUGACGGCAGAGGGAAGAAGCUUCUUCUGAAGCGGCUUGUAGUUGAUAUCAGUACUCUGUAUCUUUUGCUGGAUCUUUUGGAGGAGCUGAAAUAUGACAUGUGCUGGGUGGGAGGAGUCAGACGACAUGUUUAGAUCAGAUGUAUUUUAUAUGUACAGAGAUUGCUCGGAUGGUAGGUGCACUGAUGUCUGAUUAUGUCUGAGGCUUUACGCACAAUGCCUUCCAGUGUCCUCUUGGUGUGGGAGUCCAUGUUUCCGUAUCAGACAGAGGACGGAGUAUGUAAGGAUCAGGAUAAGUAUCAAUAGCUGCUUUCUACAGAGACAGUAGAGUCCCUGAUGUGCCUUCUUGAUGAUUGAGGCCACAUUCAGGUCCACUUUAGCAAGCUACUGAUGUGUGUGCACAGGAGUCUGUGAUGGUUAUUGAUUGAUUGCCGGUUCUAACAGGAGCAUUGUGGUUUGGGGAUUUUCCGAAAUCUAUAAUCAGUUGCUUGGUAUUGAAGGUGGUGGGAAUGAGGUCAUCGCUCUCGCACCAUGUCACGGCUCGGGCCACCUCCUUAUGGUAGGACGACCGACUCGUUGUUCUCUGAGAUCGAUCCAAUAUAAUGGUGGUGUCAUCUGCAUAUUUGAAGAACUUCACAGAGACGUUGUGGCUGGAGAAUCAGUUUGUGAAGCGUGAGAACAGAAGUUGGGAGAUGACACAACCCUGAGGUGUACCAGCACGCGCUACUCACAUUCACAACCUGUGUUCUGUUGCUGAGGUCACAGUCAAAUCCUUGCCAGGGUUAGCUGUGUUAAAGUCUAUGAAGAGUACGCUUGGAAGAGUUGUUUCAUUUGGGCGAUGAAUAAUGUGGUGAAGUGCCAGACUGACAGCGUCAUCAGCAGAUCUGUUGAAUUGGGUCCGUAAGUGAUGACGCGUCAACAACGAAAGAAUCGGUGUCAUUGAUCAUCAGCUAAACAGAACAUCAAACUAAUACGAGCCAAACGAACUUGCCUCGCUACCAGUGUGGAUAUAUUUAACCACCAUAUCUGUCCUGACCCCCCCACCUUGCUGAAAACUCCAGCUUGCUAUGAUCUGGUCUGGAAGACCAUCUUUCCCACCUGGUGAGAUAUUUUCCAGCCUCGACGUUUCCCACUUGAUUAAGUAGUCCAUCCGACUAGCUGGAGUUUUCUAACGUUCGUGGCUGACUUUGUUGCCCAUAAUCCUGCUCUGUUAACACAACUCCGCCCCCAUCCGUGUUGAUUCAGGGUUGGAGGCAGGCAGGAGUUCUCUGAUUGGCUGUUUAGACAUGCAAAUCAGUGCAGAGUAAUCAAACAAACAUCGCUCAAGACUCACGUGUGACAGAGAGUUUAAAUUCAGAACUUCUGCUCUGCUGUAGCUAGCUAUCUUUUCCUCCCCACACAGAUGGUAGCUAGGCUAAUUUUUUGGCUGAUAUACUGUUUAUUAUGCAACACUUAGUUCCAGUCGACUAAUUCGAUCGCUCAGGCGGCGUUCCAAGUGUGUUUAUAUUUAGUAUAACCGCACUGGGAUGUUUCACGCUGUGUAUCACUCCGCCCGUCUGUAUUCGCUACCUAAAAUUCCACUUCCUAGUCCGGAACCGUUACUACCGUAGAGUUAGCGAGAUCGUCAGCGGACGUGGCAAACGAUACAUUUCAGCAAUGUAACUUUUUGACUUAACAUACGAAAGCUCGUCAGACGAAGAUGAAACAUUAGAAGAGAAGCCAGUUUCACUGGAAGCACCCUUAACAGGAACGUACAAAUCAUUGUGAGCUAGCUAGCCAAUGUGCUAUAAAGUGGGCGUGGCUUCUUCCAAAUCUAUUUCCACUAUAGGAGCAAAAAUAAAAAGAGGACAUAUUGUGUCCGAAAUGUCAGUUACUCACUAUUAAUUUCUUGUUAUAGAACUGUCGUAUAUAUAUGCAACAUCGCUCUCACAAUCGUGUGGCUAUACUGAAUACCGGCAGGGCUGCGAUUAGCCGAAUAUUCAGUGUAACCGCACUCUUGCUUGUGCGAUAUUGCUUAAGCACAACAGCUUGCACAUUUUUAUUUGUUUACUUAUUUGAAUGCCAAUACAGAUUACCGCCCCCUCCUGGUCUGGAGAACGUUCCGGCAUCUGGUCUUUGCAUCGGGUUUUAAGUGCAGCCGUAUUCGGCAGAAGACGUGGGCCAACGGGAGGUUGACCAUCAGUCAAACUUAGCUGGCGGGUACUUCCUCAGGAGUGGUUUUUGUAAUAAUGAAUAAUAGUAGCGGGAUGAGGUUCGAGCCAAAACAUUUGCGCAGUCCAUCAUUAAAAAGAGUCGGUCUUCGGUUAAACUGUAAUAACAGCUCAGACGCAGCCAGACGUUUGGUUUAAACAUGCGCGUAAUGCUGAGGGUUGUGUUUUUAAGGCCAGUUAGACGUCCUGCUCUCCGUGUAAAACGGGAUGUGAGACAGUUAUUAGGUUUGCAGGAGUUUGCAUAAACCACCUCAUGGAAAUAUCCGAGCGGUUGAAGUGGAUGUAGAUGAUACAGCAGGCUUUGAGCUAUUCGGCGUCACUUCCUUACGUUACUAAAUGUUGAUGAAGAGAUUUAUUAUUUUCACCUGUAACGGAUGUGCUGAGACUGGAGACUCCUUCCGUAGGUUUUCAAUAAAUAUUCUUGCUUGUGCAAUAUUGUUUAAGUACAACAGCUUGCACUUUUAUUUAUUCAUUUAUUUAUUUAUUUCUUUUGGAAUACUAAUACAGAUUACCGCCCCCUCCUGGUCUGGAGAGCAUUCAGGCGUAUUAUCAACAACAAAAUAGUACUAAAGAGUAAGUAAGGAACAAAUGAAAACCCUGCUGAGUGUGUGUGUGUGUGUGUGUGUGUGUGUGUGUGUGUGUGUGUGUGUGUGUGGAAUUUGGACGUCUUCCUGAUUCUUUAUAAUGUUUGAACUGAAUACUUUGUUAUGAGCUUGGCCUUCGUACCUAGACUAAAUCCUGGCCCUUUUGUCUCCCACAUCAGUCGAGUUAAUAAACAUCACGUCCUGCGCUUUGGGUCCAGCUUCAAGCGUGCGUCCUGUGUGUUUUUUUAACACACCCAGCUUAACCUGAUGAUGAACCACUUCUGACCAAAACCGAAUCCUGACUUCUGGCACCGCUGUUUGUUUCAUUUCCUCCCGGCUCACCGCAGUACAGGACAUUUCCAGGUCCAUCUCGUAGGAGCGUUUCUUUCCAGAAAUGAUUCUUGGACCUCGUGGACGUUAUUCAGCCGUUAAAGGUUAAAGUGAAAUGUCCUUCAGACAUCCGAGCUGAGGAAUUCCACAUCCUGAUAACCACAGAGAAACUCUGACACUGGAGACUCCUUCCGUAAAUGUUAAACAAACGUCUCUCUGCUCUUUAGAAAAGUUCAUUUAUGGGUGUGAGCUGUACUGUGAACGAGCUGUUGCUAUAGAAACGAUAAGGCACUAGAACGAGCGCAUUGAUGUAAACCUGCGCUGCUGUUCUGGAGAAGUAACACACGAACAGUAGAGUUAGGAGAGUUUUGGGGAUCGUCCUGGAUGGAAAAUGUUUUAAAUGUUUUAGGUUAGGAUUUUGGACCUGAAUAUUUUCUUAAGGUUCAGUGAUAUGACAGCUGGAGGGUUGGAUUACUGUUAGACUGCUGUAGUGUGUGUGUGUGUGUGUGUGUGUGUGUGUGUGUGUGUGUGUGUGUGUGUGUGUGUGUGUGUCUGUGUGUGUUUGCCCUGGUCUCCUUCUGUUUCUGUUUUGUCUGGGUGGAAUGUUUGAUUCCUUUCUUAUUAUGUGACUUUCCAGUCAUUAUGGCUUUCCUCUAUUUUUUUAUUCCUUUUUCACCUUUCUCUCUCUCUCUCUCUCUCUCUCUCUCUGUCUCUCUCUGUCUCUCUCUCUCUCUCUCUCUCUCUCUCUCU